GCCGAGCCCUGACAGCUCGAGCCGGGGCGGAAGCGGCAGGCGGCGUGCAGCGCCCGCCCCCCAGCGCCCCCGGCGCCCCGGGCGGCUCGGACCACCCGGGCCAACUAACUCCGCGCCCCUGCCCAGCGCCCGCCGCCUGCCUGCCCGCCGCGCCCUGCGCCCCCUUCCCCGGCGCCCGGCCCCGCCGCCGCAUCCCCGCCGCCCCGCCGCGGCGCACCCCCACUCCCACCACUUCGAAGCCCGCGUGCACGCCCCUCGGAGUCCCCCGGCCCGCCCGCUGCACCUCGGGGCGCCCGCCCCCUCCCCCACCACUGCCUGCUCCCCGCCCCCCUCCCCCGCACCUCGCGCCUCCGCAUCCCGCCACCCCCAGCCCCGGGGCUCGCACACACCCUCCCCGCCCCGCCGCCGCUUCCCUCACUCCCUGCCUCCCGGCCACCCCUGGCCAUUCUGGGGCUUGUCGCCUGGGCAAGAGUUUCCGCGCGCCCUGCACCCCCGCCCACCCCCGGGCCAUUUACCGAUGUGGUUGUCCUCGAUGUGCUCGAUGAGGUCUGCCAGGGUCGGGAAGUGGAGUCCGCAGCCCCCGAAUCGGCAGCUUCCUCAUUCUCUUCCCACUUCCCCUAUCCCUGGCAACCCACCCCCUCCUACCUUGCCCUCUCCUCCCACCUCUUAGGAUGCCUUUUCAGGAUUGAUUAUUGAAUGAAGCUUGAACAUAGAAAGUGAACAUAGAAAGUACCAUAUUUGAGAAAGUUGCGCCAGAGAAGAGAAUUUGAGAAAGAAGCAGUUAGGAAAAAGGAAAUUGGGAAAGAACCAAAAGAAAAGGACAGAAGCAAAGGCUGAGAAGAUCUUUCCCAUCUUUUCUCCCCUGUACACCAAAGUCCUGCCACAGAAGAAUCCUCUUUGCACACAGUGCUCAGUGUCUCCUCCCUAUUAACCAUAAUCAAAUUUGCAUCUAAUCUUUCUUAUCCUAUACCCUGGUCCAAAAGACCCAUCAGAGGAAAAGGAUUCUACAAAAGUUCAACAUCAGAAAGACCUAUAUCCUAAUGCAUAAGAGCUAGGUCCUAAUGCCAGCUCUAUUGCUUACAAGCCAUUGACCUUAGAGCUUAGGUCUUCAGCACUGCAAGCAGAUGGAAUCUUGCUGCCACAAUGAUUGAUUCAGGAGGUGGGCCCCCCACCAGAAGUUUCAGUUUGAGGAAUCUGAUUGGAGGCUUAUUCCUGACUCAGGAAACACCACUUCCUGGGAGACCAGAGAAGCCAACAGCAAGGAAUUGAAGUUGUGAUAAGGCUGAGCACCUGGAGGCAGCGUGUAUAAUUAAGGCGGGGAACUGUCAUGACCCUGUGACAGAAGAAGGUGAGGCUCAGCAAGGUUUAAGAGGCAGAGCCAGGAUUGACCAUCUGACUCCAGAUCCUGUUCUCCUUCAAUGAAUCAGUGCUGCUGCGAGAGACUGAGAAACUUUGGUACUGACAUCAAGUUCAAAGGAUGUCCAAAGGAGCACUAACAAGUGACAAUAAAGAGUGAUAAAUCCAGCAGUAACACAGAGGCUUUGUGUCUUGAAUGCUGUGCUGUGGUGAAAGUGUAUAGGUUUUCACAAAUCAGUAGGGAUUGGAUUUGUCUCCAUGUAAUUCAAAUUCCAAAAAUUUAAAUCAUGUAAUUAAACUUCCAAAAAUUUAAAAAUUUAAAAUUUAAAUCACAAAGUAGUGAUUUAUGAUUAGAAGAUUAUUCAUCUUUUCUAUAAAAAAGGAAUAUGAAAUUCCUGGGUCUUCAGGGUUAGGGGCUCUUCCAGUUUUCAUGUUCUUUCUCCUCAUUGUCUAACAUGGUUGCUGGUGCUCCGGAUAUCAUAUCCUAGUUGUAGGCAGCAGAAUAAAACAGGUGGAAAAGGAGCCCCUUCCUUUUGGAAAGGCUACUCAGAUGUUCUACAUAAUACUUUCGUUUCUAUCUCAUUGGUCAGAGCUUAAUCACAUGGCCAACAUAGCUUCAAGGGAGAAUGAGGCUUGUGAUCUUUUUUUUGACAAUAAUGGUUGUGCAUAAUUGUGUGAUUUGUUGUUACAUAUUCAUAUAUGCACAAAAUAUAACAAUAUACU